CGGGAAUUUUCCGCAAUGGGCGAAAGCCUGACGGAGCAACGCCGCGUGAGUGAGGACGGCCUUCGGGUUGUAAAACUCUGUUCUUGAGGAAGAAUUCCUUCCAGGCGAACAGCCUGGAAGGUUGACGGUACUCAAGGAGAAAGCCCCGGCUAACUACGUGCCAGCAGCCGCGGUAAUACGUAGGGGGCGAGCGUUAUCCGGAAUUAUUGGGCGUAAAGCGCGCGCAGGCGGCUUGUUAAGUCAGGUGUGAAAGGCUGCGGCUCAACCGCAGAGCGGCACCUGAAACUGGUCGGCUUGAGUGCAGGAGAGGGGAGCGGAAUUCCCGGUGUAGCGGUGGAAUGCGUAGAGAUCGGGAGGAACACCAGUGGCGAAGGCGGCUCUCUGGCCUGUAACUGACGCUGAGGCGCGAAAGCGUGGGGAGCAAAC
rnacentral:rRNA from 1 species